GACGAACGCUGGCGGCGUGCUUAACACAUGCAAGUCGAACGGUGAAGGGGCCUGCUUUUGUGGGUCCUGGAUGAGUGGCGAACGGGUGAGUAACACGUGAGUAACCUGCCCCCUUCUUCUGGAUAACCGCAUGAAAGUGUGGCUAAUACGGGAUAUUCUGGGUCUGUCGCAUGGUGGGCCUGGGAAAGAUUGCGCCUUUUUUGGUGUUUUUGGUGGGGGAUGGGCUCGCGGCCUAUCAGCUUGUUGGUGGGGUGAUGGCCUACCAAGGCGGUGACGGGUAGCCGGCCUGAGAGGGUGGACGGUCACACUGGGACUGAGACACGGCCCAGACUCCUACGGGAGGCAGCAGUGGGGAAUAUUGCACAAUGGGCGCAAGCCUGAUGCAGCGACGCCGCGUGAGGGAUGGAGGCCUUCGGGUUGUGAACCUCUUUCGCCAGUGAAGCAGGCCUGCCUCGUUUGUGGGUGGGUUGA
rnacentral:rRNA from 1 species